ACGGGGGGGGCGAGCGUUGUUCGGAAUUAUUGGGCGUAAAGGGCACGUAGGCGGUCUGGUAAGUCUGGUGUGAAAGCCCUCGGCUCAACCGAGGAACUGCAUCAGAAACUGCCGGACUAGAGUUCGGGAGAGGAGAGUGGAAUUCCCAGUGUAGCGGUGAAAUGCGUAGAUAUUGGGAGGAACACCUGUGGCGAAGGCGGCUCUCUGGACCGAUACUGACGCUGAGGUGCGAAAGCGUGGGGAGCAAACAGG
rnacentral:rRNA from 1 species